rnacentral:misc_RNA from 1 species
UUGAUUCAUUUGUUUAUGAUUCCACUCAGACAUGCAAAGUAAGAAAUACAAGGGUUUGGGUCCCCCGGCGGGCGCCUGGUUCCGGCGGCUUUUUGGGCCUUCCGGGGCGUUAACCCGCCGAAGCAACAGUAAAGGUAUAAGUUCACAGGGGUUUGGGAGUAGAAAAACUCGGUAAUGAUCCCUCCGCUGGUUCACCAACGGAGA